rnacentral:rRNA from 1 species
UGGGGAAUCUUGCACAAUGGGGGCAACCCUGAUGCAGCGACGCCGCGUGAGCGAUGAAGCCCUUCGGGGCGUAAAGCUCUUUCGACCGGAACGAUAAUGACGGUACCUGGAGAGGAAGCCCCGGCUAACUCUGUGCCAGCAGCCGCGGUAAUACAGAGGGGGCAAGCGUUAUUCGGAAUUAUUGGGCGUAAAGGGCGCGUAGGCGGUGUCUUAAGUGGGAUGUGCAAUCCCCGGGCUUAACCUGGGAACUGCAUCCCAGACUGGGACGCUGGAGUACUGGAGAGNGUGGUGGAAUUCCACGUGUAGCGGUGAAAUGCGUAGAGAUGUGGAGGAACACCAGUGGCGAAGGCGGCCACCUGGACAGUAACUGACGCUGAGGCGCGAAAGUGUGGGUAGCAAACA